rnacentral:rRNA from 1 species
UAGUACAGCCAUACCACUCUGAACAAGCCUGAUCUUGUCUAAAUGCCUGAUCUUGUCUAAUCUCUGAAGCUAAUCAGGGUCAGACUUGAUUAGUACUUCUAUGGGAGAUUCUCAGGAAUACUGGGUACUAUGUUGU